rnacentral:rRNA from 1 species
GUGGAUUAGGCAUGCAAGUCGCACGAGACACCAAUUAGCUUGCUAAGAGGUAGACAGUGGCGAAAGGGAGAGUAACGCGUGGUUAGUUGCCCUCGAGACCGGGACAGUGUCGGGAAACUGGCAGUAAUACCGGAUAACAUCUUCGGAUCAAAUGGUGUGAUUCCGCUCGAGGAUAUGACCGCGUACUAUUAGCUUGUUGGUGAGGUAACGGCUCACCAAGGCUUCGAUGGUUACCGGGUGUGAGAGCAUGGCCCGGCUCACUGGGACUGAGACACUGCCCAGACACCUACGGGUGGCUGCAGUCGAGAAUCUUCGGCAAUGGACGAAAGUCUGACCGAGCGACGCCGCGUGCGGGAUGAAGGCCCUCGGGUUGUAAACCGCUGUCAGUAGUUAGGAAGUCCAUGAGAGUUAUCUCUCAUGGUUGACCGAUCUUCAGAGGAAGGACGGGCUAAGU